AACGAACGCUGGCGGCGCGUCUUAAGCAUGCAAGUCGAACGGCAGCAAAAAGCUUGCUUUUUUGUGAGAGUGGCGAACUGGUGAGUAACACGUGGGUGACAUACCCUUCAGUUGGGGAUAGCUAUUAGAAAUAGUAGAUAAUACCGAAUACGACCGUAGAUGUUAGAGAUUUACGAGGAAAGGAGCUAAGGCUUCGCUAAAGGAUUGGUCCGCGGCCCAUUAGCUAGUUGGUGUGGUAACGGCAUACCAAGGCGAUGAUGGGUAUCCGGCCUGAGAGGGUGAUCGGACACAUUGGGACUGAGAUACGGCCCAG
rnacentral:rRNA from 1 species